rnacentral:rRNA from 1 species
AUGAUUGGGGUGGUGUCACGCUCAGGGCACCUCGUGCUGGAUGGAGCUGCGGCACUCGUCGUUUCAUCAAGCAAAGCUGUGAUCGACGCCGUGGACAACCUCUCCGUUCUGCUGGCCAUUAGUAUCCUCCUAAAUGGCGUCCAACCUGUCCUUUCAGGAGUUGCUGUUGGAUCAGGGUGCCAAGCACUAGUGGCUUAUAUAAACGUAGGAAGCUAUUACAUCAUUGGAUUUCCUGUUGGACUUCUGCUGGGUUGCAAUCUGGGAGUUCUUGUACGCUCCCUACAAACCAUUCUUAAUACUCCCUCCAUUCCUCAAUAUAAGGAGUAUCUGUUAAUUAGUACUUGUGGAGAUACAUGUCUCCAUACUUACUACUAG